AUUGACGUAGUAGUGUAAGGCUGUGAUCGUGGGUGCUAGACUCCAAGGUCAGUGUACCUGGACCCUUCUGCUUAUUAUAUAUACUGACUGUCCCGCAAGUAUCUAGUAUUGGCAACCAACAAAUAUACAUCAAAACGGGACCGAUAAUCCAAAGGGAACGGUCAAAUACAUCCAGUAACGUCGAUAAAAUGUGAAAACGAAGAAUAAAGCCACAGAAGUAACAAAAAGGCAGUGAGAACGAGGAAAGAAGUUAGUCAGAAGAAGAAAACCAAUACGACACAAGAAAAAUAAUUGACGCCAACGGGAAAUAUACUGAGUAAAAGCAGGCGUGUGUGUCUGGGAAUCGCGCUCCAAUCGAUCCCCACGGCAGCAGACAUCUGGGUGAGUGAACCACUGUACGCGGCGGAAAAGGUGAGACGUUGAGUGACAGCCGAAGCAAUGACUCGGGCGACUGUAGUGACGCUACUGGUGACGGUGGUGGUGCUGUCGGCGACGGGGGUGACGGCCUUGCCCUUCCGCGCCCCUCGACAGACCCUGCUGAGCGAUAUUAUUAACACACUGCUCAGCACCAGCACGUCCAGCACCAACAUGCAGGAUACGGGAGCUCUGGGGAAGAAGGCUGGAUACCAUGUGGAAGAUCACACUGUAGUGACUGAGGACGGCUACAUUCUUACUAUACAUCACUUGUCUCCCUAUGCCAACCCUGCCAGAUGCUCCAUCACCAUCAGGAAAAAUAAGAGAGAUCCAUACAUCAAUGUUACCUUCAGUGCUUCAGUAAAUCAACAAGGCAAUGCCUUUGGCCCCGAAGUUCCAGGCAAGGUGGAGAACAAAUGGAGGUCGGAAGACAAUGGAGAAAUACAUACUCAGGACACUUCUCUCAUUAGAAAUAAAGUGGUGUUCCUCCAACAUGGGCUAAUGGGUUCCUCUGACAACUGGAACACCAAUACAGAAGAAGACUCUUUAGCCUAUCUACUGUCAGAUGCUGGGUAUGAUGUGUGGAUGGGCAAUUUUCGUGGUAACAUUUAUUCUCGAAAACACAUGAACUUCACUCACAAUGACCCUCAUUUUUGGAGAUUUAGCUAUGAUGAGAUGGCACACUAUGACCUUCCUGCUAUGCUGGACUAUGUUAUACUCCAGACAGGAGUGGAAAAGCUCCACUAUCUGGGACACUCUAUGGGUACGACAGUUUUCUUUGCCCUCAUGAGUUCCCAACCAGAGUAUCAACAAAAGAUUGCGUCAAUGAUAGCUCUGGCCCCUGUUGCUACAGUCACCAGCAUCAGCUCCCCCAUCAAAUACCUGGCACCACUUGUCAAUGAGUUGCAAUUUGUGUUACGGCUGUUUGGAAAUGACCAGGAUUUGAUGACAAACAGACUUCUAAUCUCCUUGUGGGACCCUUAUCGCGUAUGUAGGAGCCACACCUUUUGUGAGAAUCUACAAUUUAUUAUAACAGGCUUUGACCCUUCCAGGGCUGACCAGGGAAUGGUCCCAAUCAUCCUCUCCCACAACCCAGCAGGAGCAUCUACACAAACACUCUUCCAUUUUGCCCAGGGCUUUAACUCAGGACGUUUCCAGAAUUUUGACUGGGGCAAGAAGAAGAAUCUACUGCACUAUGGUCAGAUUGAGCCUCCAGAAUAUGAUGUUACAAAGAUCAAGGUUCCCAUCACAAUGUUUUGGGCAAAUAAUGAUUGGCUGGCAGGCGAGAAGGAUGUUCAUCACUUAGAGAAGCAGUUGCCACACCUUCAAGCAUGCUACAAAGUCCCUAAUCCUAUGUUCAGCCACUUAGACUUCCUCUGGGCCACUGAUGCUCGAUCUCUCGUCUAUGAAAAAGUUUUUGAGGUUCUUGAUAUAGCUGUCAAAAAAUACCAGUAAAAGAAGACAAAACAGUGCAAAAGGAAGAUAAUUGUGGUUGUUUCAUCACCAGUACAGAUGUCGUCGUUGGUGGUCUUGGA
rnacentral:misc_RNA from 1 species